UCAUUCACCAAAAAAUUUUCCCCCCUCCUCAUCUCCUCUCCCGCGCUCCUCUAUCUUCCCUCUCCCUCCCACCUCUGGCCGAAAGCCACCCACCGGCGACCAUCAAAAUCCAACCUCCGAGCACCGGUGACCACGCCGCCCAACCUCCGGCGACCUCAGAUUUGGUUUUCACCCAAAAAGUCAUCCCUCCAUCUCCAUCUCCCCUCUCCCCCUUCCCAACGCCGCCCAUCGCCGACCACGCCGACCUAACCUCCAUCUUCCCUCUCUCUCCCUCUCAGGCUCGUCUUUUUCCUUGAUGGUGAUCUAGGUUUUUGAGGCUUUUGGUUUUGGUGUGACCCAGAAAGUGAAUUUAUGGUAUAGGUGCACCUACAAAUUCUCAGCUACAGAAUGUGUUGAGUGUUGACUAUUGAGAAGCCCGCUCAAGAAGAGUGCAUUCAUUUCUUAUAACAAGCAACGUCUACAUUUGCCUCAUGGUGAAGAUGAACAAGGAACGUCUACUUUUAAAAAUAUGUAGUAAAUUUUAUUGGUCUGAUAUGAAUUUGCAAUGGUAUAUUUAUUGGCAUGUUGGGCUGUUUAAAAUUGUAUUGUGUUUCUUUUUGUGGGUAUUGAUAAGAUGCCAAGGUCGCAGCACGAGCUCCGUGCUAUUGGUUAUUGUUUCCUGUACAUCAAGGGUCUCAGAUCUGUAUGUUGGUUGUUAUGUAUGCGCCGAAUGUAAUUUGAGAACUGCAUGAUUGGUGGAACAGAGUGGAUUGACUUUUUCUAGAUUUUUAUGGAUUAGGUUAAUGCAAAAGCAUGAUUCUUUUUCAAGUUAA